rnacentral:rRNA from 1 species
UACGUAGGGGGCUAGCGUUGUUCGGAUUCAUUGGGCGUAAAGGGUGCGUAGGUGGCGCGCUAAGUCAGGUGUGAAAUUUCGGAGCUUAACUCCGAAACUGCAUUCGAUACUGCCGUGCUUGAGGACUGGAGAGGAGACUGGAAUUUACGGUGUAGCGGUGAAAUGCGUAGAUAUCGUAAGGAAGACCAGUGGCGAAGGCGGGUCUCUGGACAGUUCCUGACGCUGAGGCACGAAGGUCAGGGGAGCAAACGGG